rnacentral:rRNA from 1 species
AUGGGUCUAAGAAAGUACAGUGCCGCGAGGAGCGGUGAAAACCCUAGCCAAUCCUCUCUCGUCCCCGCGCCUCCAUUCUCCUCCCUCCACGCUAUCCUCCCGCGCCUCCCUCAUAGCCCCGGCGCGGCGCCGCCUCCACCACCUCCUCCUCUCUCUGCUUGCCUCCUCUCUCGCUCAAGAAGGCGGACCGAGCGGCGGCGGCAUAUUGUCCGUAGAUGGAGAAGGCGGACACGAGCGGCGGCGCCAUCUUGUCCGCGGAUGGCAGACGUGUUUCUUGCCGCCGCCGCUGCUCCUCUCCCUCGCCUCCUCUGCGACGCUUCCUCCUCUUCUCUUCUCCCGCUCCAGUCAUGGCGAUGGCGGCCGGGCAGGGAAGCGGCGGCCGGGCCAGGCAGGGCGGCGGCGGCCGGGAACGGAGAAGCGGCCGGGCUGGGAGAGCGUCCUCGUCGCCUUCAACCUCCCCACGCGAGGAUGACAUUAGUCUGCAAUUGUACUCAAUGAACGAUAGCAGUUUUGUUUGCAAAUAGAGAGGAAAAAGUAGGGACGGUGAAGCCUUGGGUUACAUGACAAAUGCAAAAAACUUUUCAAACAGGUGUGCCUGCAAUGGAACAUUGGAUUUCAGCAAUAUUAUUGGUUCUGCAUACAAGGGUACUAUCAAAUGGAGUUGAAAUUGCAGCUGCGUUAAGUUUGGUGACAUUUGCAAAGGAUUGGUUGAAAGAACAGAGUCACCAACUCACCAUACAGGAAAAUGUUGUUCUCCUGUUUUUGACUGCAUCCUUGCGCCGUCGUUACAAGCGAUUUCCCUUCACUACAGCCCCUUUCAUGUCGUUGUUACAAGAGAUUUCACAGUUUCCCCUUGUUACCAUGUUCUUCAGUUAAAAUGCAGUUGUAGUGCUCCAAAGUUAUUUUCUUUACUGUGGUUCGGAUAAGUACAUAUUCAACGAUGUUGGACAUUGCGGUUGGUGGCUACAUAUUUCAAAGAUCAUCUGGGCUAAACCUUGAAAUCAAAUGUAAUUUUGAAGCCAUUCUUGAUUAUUUUGCCAGCUGCGGUACAUGAUCAGAACUAAGGCGACAAUGGCCAGACUAUCACAACAAGACUUGGAUGGAAAGGCCUUUCUGCCCCAGCACAACAUAACUCCUGGGGUCAUAUUCGGCCUCCCAAGGUCCUACUAGGGUUGUUCUUUCUAAGGGUGAAGCAUUGCCUGUUGUGCCAAUGCCGGGCAAAAGGAAUAGCUCUUUUGAAGGACAAAAUGCUGUAACUCUCUUCAUAUACAAGAUAGAACUUAUGACUUCAAUUCCGGUAUAAUUUCACCACUUGCGCCUGUGGCGCAAUGGGUCAUAUAUUCUCUGAGGUUCCCUAAUGUUCCUGAAAGCUGCCCUCAUGUUUGCUAAUGUUUGAUUUGUGCUGUCGCAAGUAGCUUUUGUUUGCACUACUGGACGAACUAUGUUGAGCUUUACUUCUAGGAGGCAAAUUACUCUUUAGCUUAAACAGAUACUUAGAUUUUACAGGACAUUUUACAUGGCUCUUUGAUCACAUCUCCUGGUAUUUUGGGUCUUUCAGGUGAUAGAAAUAGCCAGAUGGGUCACGAAAACAUCGUGAAGAUGGUGAGAUAUUGCAAGGAGUCUGAUCCGUUCUGAGGAAUGCUUGUCUUUGAGUACCAGCCAAAUGGGACCCUCUAUGAUGGGAAAGGAUGUUAACUAUCUUGGCCAGGCGAAGAUUGUGCUCAGCAUCGCGCGCAUUCUAAUGCACUUCACAGUGAGCCGAUGGCUCUGUUCGCGCUCCCCGUGUUGACGGCCAGUUCGGUCUAUUAGUUAUAACAUGGCUUCUUCACUGCAGUUGACAACGAAGACUGCAGGGUGAAAACCCCACAUCAAAUUUAUUGAUUAGUAAAGUCAUAUACAAAAGAUUUGCAAAGGUUAGAGAGUCAGCUAGCUAUAACAGAGAGUCAAUCCAUAUUGCAAACUGUUGUGGGUACUUGGCUUUCACCCUAUGCAAGUGCAGGGUGACCUCAUGCCUAAAUUUGCUUCUCCAGGAUCUAAAAGAUGGCAACACAUUCUGAAAAAUAGCUUCAUUUCUCUCUUUCCAAAUGUGCCAGGCAGCUAGAAUAACAACCUCAGUGAAGAAUGGGUGACCAAGCUGCUGCUUUGUCAACAUAAAACUCAGCUCAAUGGAGUUACCCUGCUGCCAGUGAAUCUGUAGAUAGUUCCAUAUCCUGAUGCUAAAGUUGCAGCCAAAAAAGAGAUGCAUCCAAUCCUCAGUGCACCUUGUGGGACACAACACACAGUGAGACAUUCUCCAAAAAAAAAACACGCACAGUGAAAGACAUCAGUGACAUUCCAGUGUCGUCUGCGAAGCAUGUCUCUGGUAUUUAGUCUAUCACUGAAAAGCAGCCAAGCAUGGUAUUUUCAAUUUAAAUCAUGUAAGUGUGGUUUGUCAUGGAUGUGAUACUCCGUGCUGCAAUCAUUUGGCAAUCAUUCUUGCCACGAAGAAAUUUGUAGAGAUUACCACCUUUGAGAAGGUUAAAAGAUACAAUAUGUUCUCCUCGAGUAAAAUUAGUUCUGCGCAUUCUGAAAUAGAAGUUAUGUCUUGCAACUUCUGGUCACUGCUCUUUGCUAUAAGAAUCAUUGGUUGUUCAGGUAAAAAAAAGAAUCAUUGGUUGUAAUGAGCAUUCAUAGGGC